rnacentral:tRNA from 1 species
CGGGCUAUAGCUCAGCUGGGAGAGCGCUUGCAUGGCAUGCAAGAGUCAGCGGUUCGAUCCGCUUAGCUCCACCA